rnacentral:rRNA from 1 species
AACGAACGCUGGCGGCAGGCCAAACACAUGCAAGUCGAGCGCGCCCUUCGGGGUGAGCGGCGGACGGGUGAGUAACGCGUGGGAACGUGCCCUUUGGUACGGAAUAGCCCCGGGAAACUGGGAGUAAUACCGUAUGUUGUCUUCGGACUAAAGAUUUAUCGCCAAGGGAUCGGCCCGCGUUGGAUUAGGUAGUUGGUGGGGUAACGGCCUACCAAGCCGACGAUCCAUAGCUGGUUUGAGAGGAUGAUCAGCCACACUGGGACUGAGACACGGCCCAGACUCCUACGGGAGGCAGCAGUGGGGAAUCUUAGACAAUGGGCGCAAGCCUGAUCUAGCCAUGCCGCGUGAGCGAUGAAGGCCUUAGGGUUGUAAAGCUCUUUCGUGGGGGAAGAUAAUGACUGUACCCCAAGAAGAAGCCCCGGCUAACUCCGUGCCAGCCGCCGCUGUAACAC